GGACGAACGCUGGCGGCGUGCUUACCACAUGCAAGUCGAACGGGUCUGCCCUGUUUUUUGCGGGGUGGGUCAGUGGCGAACGGGUGAGUAACACGUGAGUAACCUGCCCCUCACUUCUGGAUAACCGCUUGAAAGGGUGGCUAAUACGGGGUGUUCUGGCUGUGCCGCAUGGUGUGGCUGGGAAAGAUUCACUUUUGUGGUGUUUUGGUGGGGGAUGGGCUCGCGGCCUAUCAGCUUGUUGGUGGGGUGAUGGCCUGCCAAGGCUUUGACGGGUAGCCGGCCUGAGAGGGUGGGCGGUCACACUGGGGCUGAGAUACGGCCCAGACUCCUGCGGGAGGCAGCAGUGGGGGGUAUUGCACAAUGGGCGGAAGCCUGAUGCAGCGACGUCGCGUGAGGGAUGGAGGCCUUCGGGUUGUGAACCUCUUUCGCCGGUGAAGAAGGUCCUGCUCUUUGUGGUGGGGUUGACGGUAGCCGGGUUAUGAAGCGCCGGCUAACUACGUG
rnacentral:rRNA from 1 species